CGCACACCUCAGUAACACGUGGCUAACCUGCCCUUGGGACGGGACCAACCCCGGGAAACUGGGGCUAAUCCCCGAUAGGCGAAGAACUCUGGAAUGAGUCUUCACCCAAAAGGCGUCAGAUCAUGCUUCUGGCGUCGCCCAAGGAUGGGGCCGCGACCGAUCAGGUUGUUGGUGAGGUAAUGGCCCACCAAGCCUAUAACCGGUGCGGGCCGUGAGAGCGGGAGCCCGGAGAUGGGCACUGAGACAAGGGCCCAGGUCCUACGGGGCGCAGCAGUCGCGAAAACUUUGCAAUACACGAAAGUGUGACAGGGUCAUCCCGAGUGCCGACCGCUGAGGUUGGCUUUUACCCAGUCUAGAAAGCUGGGGGAAUAAGGAGAGGGCAAGUCUGGUGUCAGCCGCCGCGGUAAUACCAGCUCUCCGAGUGGUGUGGACGUUUAUUGGGCCUAAAGCAUCCGUAGCUGGCUGAACAAGUCCCCUGUUAAACCCACCGAUUUAAUCGAUGGUCUGCGGGGGAUACUGCUCGGCUAGGGGACGAGAGAGGCAGGCGGUAUUCCCGGGGUAGGGGUGAAAUCCUAUAAUCCCGAGAAGACCACCAGUGGCGAAGGCUGCCUGCUAGAACGCGCCCGACGGUGAGGGAUGAAAGCUGGGGGAGCGAACC
rnacentral:rRNA from 1 species